AACGAACGCUGGCGGCAGGCCUAACACAUGCAAGUCGAGCGCGCCCUUCGGGGUGAGCGGCGGACGGGUGAGUAACGCGUGGGAACGUGCCCUUUUCUACGGAAUAGCCUCGGGAAUCUGAGAGUAAUACCGUAUAUGCUCCCUGGUGGGAAGUUUUAAUGGAAAAGGAUCGGCCCGCGUGGUAUUAGGUUGUUGGUGGGGUAAGGGGCUACCAAUCGGACGAUCCAUAGCUGGUUUGAGAGGAUGAGCAGCCACACUGGUGGUGAGACACGGCCCAGAAUCCUACGGGAGGCAGCAGAGGGGAAUCUUGGAAAAUGGGGGCAAGGAUGAAGGAGCCAUGGUGGGUGAGUGAUGAAGGCCGUAGGGUAGUAAAGCGCUCUAAGAUGGGAAGAUAAUGACGGUACCAGAAGAAGAAGCACCGGCUAACUCCGUG
rnacentral:rRNA from 1 species